UGUCAUCUUCCCCUGCGUGGGAAUUGCUUAAGCUCCCUGGCUGGGAAGCUGCUGCCUUCCACUCAGCGUGCCCGCUGCAGGUGGAUGGUCAAGGCGUGGACUGCCGGGCAUGGGCCCACGGGCACCGGGCACUGGCCCCUUUUCCCUCCUAUCCAGCAAGGGCACAAGAGUGAAUCUACGUGCAGGUGUAAGAGCCACGUCCUCUGUCCCCAGGAUGAGAUAGAGAGAGCCUAGAGAGCCGGUAGAAGCCUAACCUGAGGUUUCCAUGACAACCAUGGAAGCCUCCAGAAACUUCAGCACCCCUACCAACUCCCUCUCAGAACCGCCAGGUUGCCAAAAAAUAUGCAGUACUGAAACGGCAGCCGAAGGAAAGGCAGGAACCAUGUGCUCUCAGACAGGGACCCUUGAGCUUCUCCCCCAGAACCCUCUCUGUACAACACCUGCCUCAGGAACAUGGCCCCUAGUCACCCUCAGUGCACUCACCGGCCACAGAGGAAAAGGCAAAACAGGAUGUAAAUAUGCUCUCUCUGUAAUGUGCUUUCUGUCCUAAGGAAGCUAUGGAAAAAAGUUCUGUGCUCAAACAAUACAAUAAACCCAGAAAGAAGAUAACAUGGGAACCAACUCAGAAGAGGAAUUACUGGAUGACUACAAAGGCAAGCCCCAGGGAGAGUGCUGUGCCAGCCAGACAAGAAAACAAGCAUCCCAGAAUGGAGUGGGAGGUAGAUGGCUCAAGGUUUGGGGCCAAAGAUAGAUAAAGAGGGGUGUCUUCUGGAAGAAACAAAGCUGACAGGUUAUGUGGAAAAUCACAGGGGGAAUACUCAGUCAGAGAUCCACCAAAAAACUAAGCAAAUGUGAAAAAGAAGGGAUCAGUAACUCCAAGGAAACACUAAAAUUUGCAGGAGAUAGAAAGCAGAAAUACAGAAGUGUAUUUGGCUCAGCACUAAACAAUAUAUUCAUGAUCAUGAUAAUGAAAAAGCUGACAAUAAAUUUAACCAUAAAAUGAUGAUAAACCUGUGUUUUGGAGUAUGGGGGAAGAAGAAAAAAGUUUUUUUAAAUUUAAACCUUCUCCUAUCAUAAAUAAAAAGUCAAUAGAUAAAGUCUAUAGAUGGUGC
rnacentral:lncRNA from 1 species